rnacentral:misc_RNA from 1 species
AGUAUGGAUUGUGCAGUUUCCAGCCUUUUGUGUGCUGAAGACAACAGUAGCAUUUUUUGCAAUGAGGACGAUGAUGUCGGAUUUGGGUUUGUAGAGGAAGUUGUGGGGGAAGAUAUAUGGUAUCCUAGGAUUCAUCGAAAUGGUCAAGAAAACAGGAAGUUGUUUAAUGGAGAUGAGUUUUAUACUGGUGUACCAUUGCAGAGUGAUGAGUGUUUAGUUUUGAUGAUUGAAAAAGAAUGUGAACAUAUGCCUGCUGUUGAUUAUCUUGAAAGAUUGAGAAAUGGGGAUUUGGAUAUUGGGGCUAGAGAUGAGAUUCUUGAUUGGAUUGCUAAGGUUCAUUCGCAGUUCAAUUUUGGUCCAAUGUGUGCAUAUUUGGCUGUGAACUAUCUUGAUAGAUUCCUUUCUGCUUAUGACUUGCCUAAGGAAAAGGCUUGGAUGAUGCAGUUACUCGGCGUAGCUUGUCUGUCGAUUGCUGCCAAAAUGGAGGAGACUGAUGUUCCUCUGUCUCUAGAUUUACAGGGAGGGGAUGCAAAGUUUGUAUUUGAAGCUAAAACAAUACAGAGAAUGGAGCUACUUGUGUUAACCACAUUGAAAUGGAGAAUGCAGGCUAUCACCCCAUUCUCUUACAUAGAUUAUUUCAUCAAGAAGAUAAAUAAUAGCGAUCAAAUAUCUUCGAUCAAUAAAUCAGUUGAACUCAUACUAAGCACACUAAAAGGUAUUAACUUCUUGGAAUUCAAGCCUUCUGUGAUUGCAGCAGCAGUAGCAAUCUCAUUUGCAGUAAAAACUGAGACAUUAGACAGUGAGAAAGCACUAUCUGCUCUAGUUCAGCAUGUACAAAAGGAUAAAGUGAUGAAGUGUGUUGAACUGAUUCAAGCAUUGUCAUUAGCAAGUGACUUUGUUAAAGUUCCAAUUGCUUCUUCAAUCCCAUCUGUUCCUCAGAGUCCAAUUGGUGUGUUGGAUGCAGCAUGUUUAAGUUACACAAGUGAUGGCUCAGGAGUUGAGUCGCGGUCUAAUUCAUCGCAUAAUAGUCCAGUGAAGAGGAGAAAGCUAAAUACUUAAAGAUGGAUGAGAUAUUAAGUGGAAAGAAGGCCUUUUGUCAAGUUAUUAUGAUAUAGUUGAAUGAGAGUUUUGGUGUGAUCUUUUGAGAAUUACAAUGCACCCCACAUACACAUAACUUCAAAAUAAAGAAAGUUUAGGA